AGUGCAUGUGGUGGAUGCCUUGGCGAUCACAGGCGAUGAAGGACGCGGCAGUCUGCGAAAAGCCCCGGGGAGCUGACAACGAGCUUUGAUCCGGGGAUCUCCGAAUGAGGGAACUCCAAGCUUUAGCUUGAUCCAUGCGUGAAUACAUAGCGUAUGGAGGCGAACGCGGCGAACUGAAACAUCUCAGUAGCUGCAGGAAAAGAAAUCAACCGAGAUUCCGGAAGUAGCGGCGAGCGAAACCGGAACAGCCUGAAUUCGAUAUUGAGAAGAACACUGGAAGAGUCUGGAAAGGCUCGCCAUAGUGGGUGAUAGCCCCGUACGGGACGUUCAUCUCAAGGUACUGAGGAUUCGAAAAGUAGGUCGGGGCACGUGAAACCCUGGCUGAACAUGGGGGGACCAUCCUCCAAGGCUAAAUACUCGUGAUCGACCGAUAGCGUACUAGUACUGUGAAGGAAAGGUUAAAAGAACCCCGGGAGGGGAGUGAAAUAGAUUCUGAAACCGCAUGCAUACAAACAGUAGGAGCCCUUCGGGGUGACUGCGUACCUUUUGCAUAAUGGGUCAGCGACUUAUGUUAUGUGGCAAGCCUAACCGACUAGGGGAGGCGCAGCGAAAGCGAGUCCGAACAGGGCGAUUCAGUCGCAUGGCAUAGACCCGAAACCAGAUGAGCUAACCAUGGCCAGGCUGAAGGUGUGGUAACACACACUGGAGGGCCGAACCUACUGGUGUUGCAAAACCAGAGGAUGAGCUGUGGUUAGGGGUGAAAGGCUUAACAAAUCUGGAGAUAGCUGGUUCUCCCCGAAAACUAUUGAGGUAGUGCCUUGCGCAUGAGCUUCUGGGGGUAGAGCACUGUUAUAGCUAGGGGGACAUGGCGUCUUACCAAACUAUGGCAAACUCCGAAUACCAGAAAGCUUCGCGCAGGAGACAGAGCACCGGGUGCUAACGUCCGGACUCAAAAGGGAAUCAACCCAGACCGCCAGCUAAGGUCCCUAAUAUCAGCUAAGUGGAAAACGAAGUGGAAAGGCUAAAACAGUCAGGAAGUUGGCUUAGAAGCAGCCAUCCUUCAAAGAAAGCGUAAUAGCUCACUGAUCGAGUCCUUCCGCGCGGAAGAUGUAACGGGGCUAAGUUGAUAACCGAAGCUGCGGAUUCAUACUUUGAGUAUGAGUGGUAGGGGAGCGUUCUGUAAGCCUGUGAAGGUGGAUCGUAAGGUCUGCUGGAGGUAUCAGAAGUGCGAAUGCUGACAUGAGUAACGAUAAAGCGGGUGAAAAGCCCGCUCGCCGCAAACCCAAGGUUUCCUGCUCUACGUUAAUCGGAGCAGGGUGAGUCGGUUCCUAAGGCCAGGCUGAGAAGCGUAGCUGAUGGAAAUCAGGUUAAUAUUCCUGAACCGGCGUUGAAUGCGAUGGGGUGACGGAGCAGCCAGAGUGGACCGGGUGUUGGAUGUCCCGGCUUCCGAGCGAUGGGUGCCUGCAGGCAAAUCCGCAGGCGAAUACCCAGGACGAAGGAUCGGGCCUUCUUUUGAAGGCGAAGCCACUGGAAGCGCUUCCAGGAAAAACCUCUAAGCUUCAGUUCAACGGCGACCGUACCGUAAACCGACACAGGUGGGUGAGCUGAAUAUGCUCAGGCGCUUGAGAGAACUCGGGAGAAGGAACUCGGCAAAUUGACACCGUAACUUCGGAAGAAGGUGUGCCUUUGUAGCUUGACGGGAGAGAAACCCGGAGGGCGAAGAGGUCUCAGAGAAUCGGUGGCUGUAACUGUUUACUAAAAACACAGCGCUCUGCAAAGAUGAAAGUCGACGUAUAGGGUGUGAUGCCUGCCCGGUGCUGGAAGAUUAAUUGAUGGGGUGCAAGCUCCUGAUCGAAGUCCCAGUAAACGGCGGCCGUAACUAUAACGGUCCUAAGGUAGCGAAAUUCCUUGUCGGGCAAGUUCCGACCUGCACGAAUGGCAUAAUGAUGGCCACACUGUCUCCUCCUGAGACUCAGUGAAGUUGAAAUGUUUGUGAUGAUGCAAUCUCCCCGCGGCUAGACGGAAAGACCCCAUGAACCUUUACUGCAGCUUUGCAUUGGACUUUGAACCGAUCUGUGUAGGAUAGGCGGGAGGCUUUGAAGAAUGGACGCCAGUUCAUUCGGAGCCGUCGUUGAAAUACCGCCCUGAUUUGUUUGAGGUUCUAACCUGGGCCAGUAAUCCUGGCUGGGGGGCUGCCCCAUUGGCGGAACUCUUUCAGCUCAUCCAAUGUGAAUUUGCCUGCCAACGCCAAUGUGGAAUAGAGCAUCGGCGACAUGUGUCCCGGGUCGAGGAAGAAACGGUCGCGACCUUCCCACGCGGGGUUCUCGGGGUCGUACACUAAGAACUCGGAGAAGAGUACAUUCACAAAGUCGGCACCGCCCAUAGCGCCACCGGGGUGUCCGGAAUUGGCUUUUUCGACCAUAGAAGCAGCAAGGAUACGGAUGUUGUCCGCUGCAAGGUUCAUAAGUUUCUUGUCGUUCAUAUUAUAAAAUAUAAUUGUUAUUUGAAUAUUCUGUAAGUGAAUUGAAUUCUUGCUUGUUGUUUUACCAGGACAAAGAUAACUCUUUAUGUGCAAUUUACAAUAUAGAAAGCUGCUCUUUUUUCUUGCCUGUAUAACCUGCUUCCUGUUUUGAAUACAAUAACUGUUCACUGCUGACUGGUGGGUUUAGGAUUGUCUGCCGGAAGGUAAACGAGGUGUGUUGUCGUUGUUGGGAGUUAUUUAUUUCUCUGCCGGAAAUGGAACAAUACCGGCUGCCGAGGAGUUUGUCCGGUAUAGAUGACAGGAAGGUCGGUUUAAUAAAAAAGACGCCUUCUUCACAGAAAGCGUCUUUUU
rnacentral:rRNA from 1 species